rnacentral:rRNA from 1 species
UACGUAGGAGGCAAGCGUUGUCCGGAAUUACUGGGCGUAAAGCGCGUGUAGGUGGUGGGACAAGUCUGCUGUGAAAGCGCCUGGCUUAACCGGGCGAGGUCGGCGGAAACUGUCCGACUAGAGGACGGUAGAGGGGGGUGGAAUUCCCGGUGUAGUGGUGAAAUGCGUAGAGAUCGGGAGGAACACCUGUGGCGAAGGCGGCCCCCUGGGCCGGCCCUGACACUGAGAUGCGAAGGCGUGGGGAGCGAACGGG